rnacentral:rRNA from 1 species
CCUACGGGAGGCAGCAGUGGGGAAUUUUGGACAAUGGGCGCAAGCCUGAUCCAGCCAUGCCGCGUGCAGGAUGAAGGCCUUCGGGUUGUAAACUGCUUUUGUACGGAACGAAAAGACUCUGGUUAAUACCUGGGGUCCAUGACGGUACCGUAAGAAUAAGCACCGGCUAACUACGUGCCAGCAGCCGCGGUAAUACGUAGGGUGCGAGCGUUAAUCGGAAUUACUGGGCGUAAAGCGUGCGCAGGCGGUUAUAUAAGACAGAUGUGAAAUCCCCGGGCUCAACCUGGGAACUGCAUUUGUGACUGUAUAGCUAGAGUACGGCAGAGGGGGAUGGAAUUCCGCGUGUAGCAGUGAAAUGCGUAGAUAUGCGGAGGAACACCGAUGGCGAAGGCAAUCCCCUGGGCCUGUACUGACGCUCAUGCACGAAAGCGUGGGGAGCAAACAGGAUUAGAUACCCUGGUAGUCCACGCCCUAAACGAUGUCAACUGGUUGUUGGGUCUUCACUGACUCAGUAACGAAGCUAACGCGUGAAGUUGACCGCCUGGGGAGUACGGCCGCAAGGUUGAAACUCAAAGGAUUGACGG